ACAGGGAGAACAUACAGACUCCACACAGACAGCACCCCAGGGACUACUGCGCCACCCUGCUGACCUAUCAUAUUUCCCUUCACGGUCAAUUCACACUGUCUGCCGUAUGUGCGCUCCUCACACAGAGCACAGAGCCAGGAAUCCGGGCUCUGUGCUCGUACAUCGGCAUCCUUGCCCUGUACGUGUGCCGUGGCACGCUGCCAUGAGCCCCUGCUGACGGGGCCGGGCCUGCAGCUGCUACACAGCUACGCAGAGCGAGGUCACUUCCUCACCUGGCGGUCUCACGGCAGCACGCUGCGUCCGAUUUCAAAUCGCCUCACUGAAGAAAAAAAAGCACUCUGCAGGAAGGGGCUGAGAGGAGCCCUAGUGGACAGAUAACAGGCUGCAGGAGCCCGGAGUCCCGUCAGGUCUCGCACACCCUGACGAGCAACGCUCCGGCUGGGCGUCGAGGGUUCUGUUUUUCAGAAGGGCGAGGUGGGGUAGCUGUUUAACACCUGCACACGAAAACAGCAGCUGUGAGCCGUGGUGAACAGGUCGAUUUCACCCCCCUGGUCACUAGAUGUCACCCUGUGCUCAAGAUUCAACGGUCUUGCACUUCCAUUCCUGAUCCACAGGGGGGGAGUAUCGAUACGCCUUCCGUACGUGGAUGAACAUUCGUGUCCCCGGCGCUGGUAAUGAGCGUCCCCCGCAUUUUUAUUUGAGGCCCAGGGUGAUGUAAAUUUAUCUUCCUGAUAGUUCCUAAGGAUCGGGCUUCUGCAUCCGCACACACCUAUGAAAGCUUUGUGAUAAGAGGAAACUGCACGCCCGCCCAGUUCCAAAAGCACCGUGUUCGCUGCCUCUCUGGGCCAUGUGAACACACGCUUGGGGAAGUCGCUGCAGCUCUGUAUCUACAUGCCUUUAUUCCACACCAUCCGUGCCCAGCAGCUUGCUGCCGUGUUUUCUGCAGAAGCAGCACGAAGUCAUGCACAGUCCGAUUGUACACUACCGUUCAAGGAUCGGGAAUCCACACAGGCUGCGGCGUGGCUCUGUCAGUACCUACAGGCGAAGCAGCUGAAUUCCGUCCUUGCAAGCAGCUCCUACAGCUGUUUUUGAACCAAAGGCGGCGAAUACGGGUUUCAUUAACCUCGCGCCGGUCCGCUAUCCCAAAAUAUUAGUCAAUAUUAAAAAAGAAAAAAUAGUCCCGCUAUCUGAAAAAUGUGAUGAUUGCUUGACACAGAAAUGGGUCUGGGAUGUAGAAAUCGGAUUAGAAUCAAGGCACCAGGUAGGAAAAAUAGGGGAGCCGGCCCUUGGGGGUCUCCCUUUCAAGCCCGUGUGGACAGGGCCCAGUGUGGAAAAGGACUCCCACAUCCUGACGGGGACUGACUGAGCUCCGGGGGGCACACUAUCCUCCUGCUCCUGUCCCACCUGAGCUCUCACCUACAUAUUUUCUUGAAUUGUUUCACUACCCCACUGUAGAAGUUUUAAGAUGGCUUCAAGGUGUGCCGCAGGUAACUGUGCAGUACAGGCUGCAAACUGUGUUUCUUUCAGCUGUCAGUUAGUUGACCAGGUACAGGCAGACACGGAAAGGCCCAUACUGCAUGUAUGACAGCGUGCCUGGACGAUCAGGGACCUUGCGCCUACGGUUUUCCGACGGCGUGUCUUCCAGGCUCCUUCGCAGGACCGCCUGUGACUGUGUGCCUCGGAGCGUGGCUGGCUUCUCCGGGAGGAAGACGGCGCGCGGGUUUCUCACCGCCGGGGACACAAUGAGGGGCCGAGGCCCUUGGAUCGUCUCGCGCCGCGCACCUGUCAGCUGUCCAGACAAUGAGCAAUGAACCCAUGAUUGCACACAUCGGGGAAGAAUGAGGAAGUGGAGGUGGACUUCUCAGAAGUGACCACCCUCGAGCCACUUGACGAUGGAAACAGGAGGGGUGGAGGGACAGCACCGACGGCACCACGUGUCCGCAAGCACCCUUGAGGCUACGGGGGUCACGGGCCAGCCAAUCCCACCCUCCCCUUGGCGGCUUUCAGCCAACUGGGAGCCACCAGCUGCGGACUCCAGGCCAGCGCCGGCCGGUGAUGUCACCCCAGCUGGAACCCGUGAUCGGCAUUACAAUCGGAGCUUUAACCGAUGGAUGCGAGACUCAUUUCGAGGAAUCGAAGGCUCCGAGGUCGUUGUGUUUCUGGAGGCAGGGGGAAACCUGACAAGUCUCUGGUUCAGUGUUGAGCUGUAGAUGACAGCUCGACAGCUGAUCUCCCUGAAACAUCGCAGUGAAUCACUUUCCAAGCUCAGCAGCCCGGCUGGGAUGUAUGAGCCACACAUCACACUCCUCUCCGUCGCACGCCUGCAGCGAACAGACCCAACUACUGCCCCUGUACUUCAAGACGUCCUCAUGCUGACUUGCAGACAAUUUAAAAGGCCGGGACAGAAGUGCUACGACUUCUCCAGGGUAGUUGGCCAGUCUAAUUAAAGCAAAAGAAAUGAAGGGAGUGAAAUGACAACCAGAUGACACGUCUGACCUCUGA